rnacentral:rRNA from 1 species
AUGCUCAGGAAAUCACUUCAGCAGCUCAUUUGCACUAUGUCCUACACAAGCUGUUUGAAGAAACAUCCCCUGAGACUAAUCUUUCCAUAUGCCAAUUCCAUCCUCCGAGCGUCUUUGGAAAAAGGCUCCCCACAAAAGUCACUGAUGGACUAUAGCACUAUGCUCCAUUUUACCACAUUUUGCCCUGAUUACAGAACAUAUGUUCUCCUCCUCAGAGCUUGUUCAAAAUGUUCAGACAUCUAUGCUGCCAUGCAAAUUCAUUCACAUCUCACUAAAGCUGGGUUGUUAUGUAAUCAAGAUAUAAUAGCUCCACUUUUGAGGUUGUAUAUCGAUCAUGGUCGCAUGAUGGAAGCAUGUGAACUGUAUUGGCCAAUGCUUGAGUGGAGUACCGAUCCUUUCCAUGGUAAUUUGAUGCUUAUGGGAUUCUUGAAGGGAGGACAGCUAGACAAAGCAUAUCAGAUUUUCAAGAGGAUGCCUGUCAAGGACCUGGUCUCGUGGAAUUCAGUGAUUGCAGGUGCAGCAAGGAGCUCCCACCUGAAAGAUGCAAUGAAUCUUUUCAGCAGGUUGGUCAAUUCAGGCCUUGUGCCUGACGGUUUUUCAUUCUCUUCAGUCCUGUCUGCUUGUGCUCGAGCUGGUGCCCGAUGUUAUGGUAUGUGGGUUCAUCAACUGAUGGAUGAGCUGGGGGUGGAGAAGAAUCAUCUUUUAAUCUCAGCACUGGUUGAUAUGUAUGCUAAAUGUGGAAGGAUUGAUGUGUCAGUUGAGAUAUUCAACAACGUUAAGAGAAAACACCUGUCCACAUGGAACACGAUGAUUAGUAGCCUGGCAGGGCAUGGUCUUGGAUCUGAUGUGGUGAUGCUGUUCCACAGGAUGGAACUUUCAGGUGUGGUUCCUGAUGGGGUUACAUUUGUUGCACUAUUGACAGCAUGUAGCCAUUGUGGUAUGGUUGAAGAGGCUCGUCAGUACUUUGAAACGAUGUCUACAAAGUAUUCAAUCACUCCAAAGGUUGAACACUACGGCGCAAUGGUGGAUACACUGUCACGAGCUGGGCUGCUGGAUGAAGCAUACAACUUGGUGAGGUCAAUGGCCGUGAAGCCUGAUGCUGUGAUAUGGAGGGCAUUACUUAGUGCUUGUCGUAGGUACCAUCAAACCAAAUUAGGUGAUGUCACUAUUGAACAGAUAACAUGUCAGGGCAGCGGUGAUUAUACGCUUCUUUCAAAUAUCUACUCAUCAAUAAACAGGUGGGGUGAUUCAGAGGAAGUAUGGAAAGAGAUGAAGAAAAAGAAGGUACGUAAGAUCAAGGGCUUGAGUUGGGUUGAAUUAGGGGGGAGCACCCAUGAAUUCAAAGCUGGUGAUCGAUCUCAUCCUGAUUCUGAUGAUAUCUACAGAGUGCUGCAUGGCUUGUUGAAAAAAGCGAAGGCUGAAGGUUAUACCCCAUCCACUGAAUUAGUAACAAAAGAUGUAUCACAGGAGGAAAGAGAAGAAAACCUCAGCUUCCACAGUGAGAAGCUUGCAGUGGCUUAUAGUGUUCUUAAGACUGGUCCAGGGACAGAAAUAUUGGUGUCAAAGAAUCUGCAGGCAUGCGGUGACUGCCAUGAAUGGAUGAAGAUAAUUUCAAAGGCACUUUGUCGUGUUAUAAUUAUGAGGGAUAGAGUUCGAUUUCACCGCUUUGAAAGCGGGUGCUGCUCCUGUAAAGAUUACUGGAGUAAUAGAGGUGGCGUUGAAUAUUCUGUUAUCUAA